rnacentral:rRNA from 1 species
GAUGAACGCUAGCUACAGGCUUAACACAUGCAAGUCGAGGGGAAACGAUAUUGGAAGCUUGCUUCCGAUAGGCGUCGACCGGCGCACGGGUGAGUAACGCGUAUCCAACCUGCCCAUCACUUGGGAAUAACCUUGCGAAAGUAAGACUAAUGCCCAAUGACAUUUAUAGAAGGCAUCUGAAAUGAAUUAAAGAUUUAUCGGUGAUGGAUGGGGAUGCGUCUGAUUAGCUUGUUGGCGGGGUAACGGCCCACCAAGGCGACGAUCAGUAGGGGUUCUGAGAGGAAGGUCCCCCANAUUGGAACCGAGACACGGUCCAAACUCCUACGGGAGGCAGCAGUGAGGAAUAUUGGUCAAUGGACGUAAGUCUGAACCAGCCAAGUAGCGUGCAGGAUGACGGCCCUAUGGGUUGUAAACUGCUUUUAUGUCGGGGAUAAAGUUAGGAUGUAU